rnacentral:lncRNA from 1 species
UUCGAACACUUGCUGUCAGGGCUGAUGUUUAUGUCAUAUGACAGGAAAUAGAUAUUACAAGUUUUCAAGACAAAGCUAGAUCUGUGGAUGACAAUUUUUUUUGUUAAUGGAUGCCGCUUGGAGCCGAACUGAUGAGGAAUGAAAAUAUAGUAAGGUGCCUUUACCCUGGAACGGGAAGCAGAUCUCUUAGAAUCGAAGCGGAAGAAUGAAGAACUGAAAUAGUCCAAAGUUUUCAGUUCUCUAUUUCCUAUAGGAAAGUGAUGCUUAAAAAGAACAAUCACUGUAGGUGCAUGUGACAACCCGUAAUUCUCGAGUUUUUCAUGUGAAGUGUAGCCGGAAGGAUACCAACAAAAGUGGAGCUGGAUAAGAGAGGAGUGCAAUGGGAAGUGUGUUGUGCCCUUGCUUCGGAUACCUACCAGAAUCAGUGGACCAUGUAUUGGUUUCAUGCAAACUCGCCAAAUCGAUUUGGUGGGGAACUGGAGUGUGGCUUGGGUUGAACAAUCUUUCAGCAUGUUCAACUGUCUAAGAAGCGAUCAAAUCUGUGAUGGAUGAACGUUAUCUAAGAGGCAAAGGAAGGCCACACUGUGUGUUGUCUUGGCUGUACUGUGGAAGAUAUGGUGGCAUAGGAACCGGUGUGAAGUUGCUUAUACUAGAUUAAGAUGAGAAUGAAACAAAUAAACAUUUCAAAGUAAAUAAUAUGGUUUUGGAUGAAGCCGCACAUCCCGCGGGCAUUAGCCUAGUUUAUAUAUAAUCUACUCUGAUCAUUCAAAAAUUAACAUUCUUAAAAUACAUGUAUCAGUCAUGUCCUUUAAUAUUAAAUCAAUUGAAACGGUCACAUCUUUUCAGUUUAUCCACAAAC